rnacentral:rRNA from 1 species
CUACCGGGGUAUCUAAUCCUGUUUGCUACCCACGCUUUCGUUCCUCAGCGUCAGAAUGAGCCCAGUAAGUCGCCUUCGCCACCGGUAUUCUUUUUAAUAUCUACGCAUUUCACCGCUACACUAAAAAUUCCACUUACCUCUACUCUUCUCAAGAUAUGCAGUUUCAAAUGCUUACAGUAGUUAAGCUACUGCCUUUUACACCUGACUUGCAUUUCCGCCUGCGAACCCUUUACGCCCAGUGAUUCCGGACAACGCUAGCCCCCUACGUAUUACCGCGGCUGCUGGCAC